rnacentral:rRNA from 1 species
GAUGAACGCUGGCGGCGUGCCUAAUACAUGCAAGUCGAGCGAACAGACGAGGAGCUUGCUCCUCUGACGUUAGCGGCGGACGGGUGAGUAACACGUGGAUAACCUACCUAUAAGACUGGGAUAACUUCGGGAAACCGGAGCUAAUACCGGAUAAUAUAUUGAACCGCAUGGUUCAAUAGUGAAAGACGGUUUUGCUGUCACUUAUCGAUGGAUCCGCGCCGCAUUAGCUAGUUGGUAAGGUAACGGCUUACCAAGGCAACGAUGCGUAGCCGACCUGAGAGGGUGAUCGGCCACACUGGAACUGAGACACGGUCCAGACUCCUACGGGAGGCAGCAGUAGGGAAUCUUCCGCAAUGGGCGAAAGCCUGACGGAGCAACGCAGCGUGAGUGAUGAAGGUCUUCGGAUCGUAAAACUCUGUUAUUAGGGAAGAACAAAUGUGUAAGUAACUAUGCACGUCUUGACGGUACCUAAGCAGAAAGCCACGGCUAACUACGUG